rnacentral:rRNA from 1 species
UACGAAGGGGACUAGCGUUGUUCGGAAUCACUGGGCGUAAAGCGCACGUAGGCGGAUAUGUCAGUCGAGGGUGAAAUCCCGGGGCUCAAGCCUCGGAACUGCCUUUAUACAGCAUAUCUUGAGUCCGAUAGAGGUGGGUGGAAUUCCUAGUGUAGAGGUGAAAUUCGUAGAUAUUAGGAAGAACACCGGUGGCGAAGGCGGCCCACUGGAUCGGUACUGACGCUGAGGUGCGAAAGCGUGGGGAGGCAAACAGG